CCUGACCUUGUGAUCCACCCUCCUUAGCCUCCCAAAGUUCUGGGAUUACAGACGUGAGCCACUGCGCCCAGCCAAAGCUUGUGUUAUAUAUUGGGCUUCCAUUCCUGAAAGCUGGUUUUAUACUAUACAAAUAACAAAGUCAAUAUGAAAAUGUGUCAAAAAUAUGAAUGUACCUCUUAAAUACACAUAUUAACUAUUUCAAACAAAAGUACUAAAGAUAAAAAAAAGUUAUACUGUAAAUGUUACUUUCAGGGAAUUUUUUUCUGCUGAGGUUGAGUUGACUGAAGCUUUUAAAGUCCAAUGUUAAGUCUUUCUAAAGCAUAUAGAGGUAUUUUUUUUUCCAGUGUUUCAAGGUCUUUUAAAUUGUGUUAAAAAACAGAGUUAUCUGCUUCCAAUUCUAUUGCAUAUGAAAAGUGUAGAAAUGCUGGGAAGUUUGUUAAUUGCUAAAAGUUGAAGGAGGGACAGUUUCCAUGGCAACUUCUUCAGUAACCCAUGCUCUGAUAUUUCAGAAGGAUAUUCUUUGCUGAGCUGUGAAUGCAGUAUUAAGAAUUCAAUCAAAUCUUCAGAAUGUGAAGAGCAAUUGCUAAAGAAAAUCAUUAGCCCUGUGCACAGUUAGACCAAACAGCUGGCUGGGUCUGGGCUGUCCCGUAUUGAGUCAGCCUUACCUGUCCACUAAUCAAGGCGUUGCCUUCUGGACGUAGUCCUUGGUGAGUCUGCUAGCCGUCUGGUUUUGGUCAUCCCUAUGAAAGUCUUAGGAAAGGCAGUAACAGGUUGAGCUGUCUUUGAUUGAGUUAGAUUCAUGACUGAAUAUCAUUAGGGUGUAUUCCUUUAAUCUGUAUGUGUUGGGAAAUGAUUUGUGUGUCUGAAGAAAGUAAGCAACAUAUAAAUUUUGUCUAAAAGGCCGCAUUUAUGCUGUAAUAAUUUUCUCGUUUUUCUUUUAAAUAAGGGGACAAACCAGGGCCUGACAUUAUCUUGUAAUAACGAGUACUGAGCAUAGAAUUUUAUGUGUCCAUGUCUGUGCCUUCAUGAAUUGUCAGAUUCUACAGACAUGACCUGAAAGGGAGAUCUUUUAUCUCCCAUGUUUUCAAAGAUGAAACCCAUCUACAUGUGAAUGAGAUGAUAUAAAAUUAUUUUCUUCAAACAUUUUUGGGUACUUACAUUUUCUUACUGAUCUUCUCGACUAGAUUUUGUGCUUUGUAGGGUUGUGCACGUAUAAAGUACUGAAGUAUUUAUGGAUUUUAUAAUAUGUUGACUCAUUUUCUGGUUGAAUUUAUAUUUUCAAAAAUUAUUAAAUUAUAUUAAAGGAAGAGAAACAAUCAUCUUGCAUUAUUGCUAAUAGUCAAGUAAACAUCAAUCUCUAAAUGAGCGUGUUAAGUAUAGUACAUAUUUGCUUGCCUAGCACUAUGCCAUAGGGAUCAAAAGGAAAUGUAGGAAAUGAUGCCUGCAUCGUUUAAGUUGCCCAGUCUGAUUUUAUAACCUCUUAUUCAUAGUUGAAAAGCAAUAUGACGUGAAUUUAAUUAGGUUUUCACUUAACAAGGCAGUCUACUCCGUUUUUUUCAUUCAUUCUGUUUUCUCGUGUUAGAUGGCAUUUCUGAUAUUUAUAGUCUUUGGUCAUUCCCCUACCCAGGUUUUCCAAUUUUAUAAGGUGUCAUUUCUGGAGCAAGGUAUAAUUUAACCCUUACCUACCCUUAGGACACCAUAUGAUAUAAAUUAACUUAUCCUGACUUCCAUAACCACAGAAGGGAACCUGCUUGGAGGCAGGGUCUCACUGUCACCCAGGCUAGUUCUGACCAGUUAACUUGGUUGGGAAAAUGGGGACAUAUUGACGGAAGAAAUCCUUUUAAAACCAGUCAAGCCUCCAGUAAGUUUCAAGAAAUAGGAAGAAAAAUGUAGUGUUCAUUACAUGAAUAUGAAAAUCAUCUAUGAUUAUGCCUUUCUGAUGUCUGUUCAGAAUCUCAAGGAGGGGAGAAGAAAGAAAAAAAAAAGCCCCCCCGCCCCGCCAGCUACAGCCUUGACAACUAUCAGAAUUGCACAGGAGGCCAGGCGUGUAAUCCCAGUACUUUGGGAGGCCGAGUUGAGCUCCAAUGACUGAAACAAAGGCCCUCAGCCUUGAGGGAGCUGACAGGUGAGUUAGAGGUGAGCAUGUGAUGCUGCUGGAAUAGGGAACACAAGGUCAUUGUCAUGGAUUAGGAUGCUCUGGUCCUCAGUGCAGGUGAACUUGAACCUAGCCAUGAAAAAGCACCAGAAAUGGCUCUCUUUGUAAUUUUCACUUCUCCCCAGCUUCCCCUCCCAAUAUGUAGUGCUGCCCCACUGCUGCAUCCCAAAGCCAAUGCCGUGGAUCAUUUUAACCGGCUGCUGCUUUAACUGGUUUGUCUUCUGCUCUUUUCCUAAAUCCAGCUCUGCUCCUCCUCCUUGGUCUGCACUUGUAAGGCCUUUAUUUGAUGUGCAUGUAUCUCCCAUUUUAUAGCCCACAUCAUUUUUCAUCUUGGACUAUAAAUUCAGAGAAGAUGUGGGCUAUGCACUUUGACCUUCACAGCACCCAGCACAGUAAACCAUAAUGAAUGUUUUGGAUGAGGAUGAGGCUCUGAAGUUGGAAGCUGACAUGGCUAAUGCCUAUUUAAUUGAAGGUUAUUAAUGCCUCUUUAGCAGUGAAGGCUAGAUAGUCUUCUGUUUACAGCAGAGAAGGAACAAGCCCUCAAGCUUUUUCCAGUGGUCUCAAAGAAUUCUCUGUCAGGUGUUGCCCCAGUACACACUGACCUGAACUUAGCAUCCCGGAGAAUGAAAGGGACAGUUGGGGCAGUGGGGCAGCUUCCCCCCGAGAAGACAAGCGUCUUCUCCUCUGGGUUCAUGGUUCCCAGGUGGGAAUUCAGGGCGGGGGUAAGUCAGAAUAUUUAUGUUCUAGUUCAGCUUAUUAAAUAUGAGAUUUUCCAUCUCUUAGUGAAUAGAGUUUGCCUUCUGUCCAGCAUGAUAGUUCUAAGUAGGGCGACCAUAUGUCCCAGUUUUAAUACCUAUUUGCCUGGAUUAAUUAUUAAUAGCUCCCCCUUUAAGAGUGCCCUGGUUUGGAUGAUAAAUAUUAUUGCUAUCCUUGUUACAAGGGGGAACAUAUAGAGAGGAUAGUUAUACAGGGGAAGGUGGGGAGAAAGAGGGAGGGGAACUUAGGCAGGCUGCUGGAGAUUCAGAAGAUAAGGAAUGUGAGAAAUAGCUGUGUAGUCAAACAUUUAGAUGUUUUUUGGAUGGAAAAAAUUAUUUGGCUUUUAAAUGAUAAGCUAGUCUAAUAAGUUAGGAUUUGAAAGUCUUGAUCAAAGGGAGAUUUUAUUUUAUCAGUCAUAGUAUAGGAUCUUUUAGUGCAGGUUAACAGGUUAAUGUGUAUACUCAGAGCUUCAGGUAUUUUAUGGCUAAAGACAAAAGACUUUAAUGUACAAAUAUGUGUAUAUAUCUCACAUUUGUUUCUUUAACUAUGAAAAUGAACUUAGUCUGUUUAAAAUCCUGUUUUUAUUUGCAUAUGUAUUUAACUUAGAUAAUGGUGUAAUGGAUAUUCAAUAUUGAUUAACCUUAGGUAUGAGGAAAAGCCACAUUGGUAAUGAAGGAAAUUAGGUAGGACCAUAUUAAUUCCUUCAUAUUUGUUAAGGGAACAUCAUGUAAUCUGAACAAAAUAAGUGUUUUAUAAUCAGGUGUUAUUUUGGAAUUUUUAUAUUCAAAGUUUUUGUUUAAAUCAGUUUGAGCUGGUUUUCGGUGAAGGAGUUGUAUCAAUAUCACUUUAAAUCAAUGGAAAGUCUAAACAUAGGGUGCUCUAGGGUUGCUCCAUCAAGCAGCCCGGCAGUCUUAGCCGCAUCCUGUGUCUUUCCAUUUCUCUUUGGCGUCCCUGGUGUGUGCUUCAGCCUGAGCCAAAUGCUCACCUUGCUCUGGGGAAGCCAUCAUAUUUGAGUUUUUAAAAAUCAUAACAGUAUGUGUAUAUGAGUGUGUAUUAUAAGUGCGUGUUCCUUGUGUACUUACAAAUAAAUUUAUAAUUUUUCAAAGUUAUCUGGCGGUAUUGCUUUACAUUUUGAAAGAGCAUUACAGUUUUAGAAAUGACUAUUUAUGUCAUUGGAUCAGCAAACAAUUUUACAGGAUGCAGAAAUUAUCGAUUGUAUUCUGUAUGUUAGUGACUUACUCGAGAUGCUAGAGCUGUCAGAAUGAACUUAGACUAAAACCCAGGUCUUCUGACUCUAUGUCCAUCACCCUACCCAUGAUAUUGACUUGUAGAUGUCUUGCCCAGUAAGUAUAUUUCAGAAAGAAUUUUUCUUUUACAAUUGCUUUUCUGUUUUGGUUUAAUUUGAUGUUGUCCUACAGUAUUCCUUGUUAGGAAAAAAAAAUAACCUCGGUGCCUUUGGGCUAAUUGGAUGUGUACUUACCUAUCUGCAAAGUGUACUUACUGAUGCAAAAUUAUCACCAUCCUACCGGUAUACCUUGAUGGUGGUCUCAGUUCAAACAUCCUUUUGACAACUCUGCCUCAGUUGCCGUCUCAGUACAUUUGUACCAUAGGAGCUUUUCUGUCUGUAUUCUUUACCUCUUGUCCUUCCUGCUUGCUGACUGUCUUUUCUAUUCUAACCUCCACUUAAAAGACUUAUGCUCAUCCUUCAAGAACUACCUGAAAUGCUGCCGCCUCAAUGAUGUUUUCUCUGUUCGUUCUAGCGAUCGCUCUUUUCUCUCUUGAGUUCCUGUAGUGCCUUGAAUUUCUCUUCUGGCCCUUAUCAUACCCUGCUUUACACCACAGCCAUUUGUCUUUAUUAUAUUCCUCCCUACAAGAUUGUGGUGAGCUUCUCAAGGGCACUGGCCAUUUCUCAUUCAUCUUGGUGUCCCCACAGCACUUUGCACAGUGCCACAUCCCUUGGAAACUCUGCAGUUCAUUUUGUUUUAAAUAAAUGAAUGGGUUUAGACAUGGUUACACCCACUCAUAAGAUAUGAGGUGAUUGUAGAUUUUUACAGCAUAUGGAGAUUACAGAGAACCUUAUAUUGGUAUAAUUAUCACCUGGUUUGUGCAUAAUUAAAAAUGUAAUUGUAUAUUUUUAUGCAAUAGGUUAUCAUGUACUGUUUUAAGUGUGUACAGUUUUUUAUGGGCCUACCAUUUAGUUAAAUUGCAUAGAUGCUUUUUAGAAUGCUACUGUGAAGAAGUGCAGAGUUGAGGUCGUUUUUAGAAGCUCAGUGAGUUGGCCCCUUUUGCUCUCUGUAUUAUCCUUUUAGGCUAAGCUGCAGCACAGCUGUCCCACCUGACUAGCUUUCCUCCUGUGGCUCUUAUUGUCAUUGCAUUAGCUGAGAGAACAGGUUUUAAGAUUUUUAACUCUUCUCUGCCUAGCCUAGGUUUCAGAAAUAUUUUAGAGGGUUUUUAGAAAGUCGAAAUUCAGUGGAUAAGACUUUUGAUAGUUUUCAGGUUCUCUUUGUUUUAUGUAACCUUCGGUUUUUAAAAAUGUUUACAUUUCACUCCAUUUUCUUCUAAUCCUGUAGAUAUGGGACUGGCCUAGGAUCUGGCGUUUUAAAUAAUCUUUUCACUUCCCCUUCCCCCAACAAGGUAAUUCUGAUGUCAGGGAGACAGGGAAAAAUUCACCUCGAGAAACACCAUGACAGGUCAGUAUUGGGGAAUGAGGACUUGAGAUUUGCCUUUCAAAAUGAGUAAGGUUUAAGUGGAUGGAGAGGAGAUGAUUUCCUUGUGGAGGUAAGAAAUGGAGCAAAGUCUAAGGUGAGAAUGAGCACGUAAUAUUAGGAGAGAAGGAGGGCAAGGAGGAUGCUAACCAGCUUUCAGUGGAAGAUUAUUUUAGAGCAAUGUUCUCAAACUGUGGGUACAUUAGAAGUGUACCAUGGGCUUGUUAAAUAGCCACAUUCCUGCCUUCCACCCCGACCCUGAAAUUGCUUGUUUGGGCAUUCUGUGGGCUUAGGGUGGUGGCCUGGGCGUCGGCAUUUCUAACAGACAUCCAGCUGAACUUGGUGUGAUGGAAUCCCUGCUUUAUGGAAUAAAAGAGGGUCUGCUGACAAGGCAGCAGGGACUGCAUUUUGGCAGUCCUUACUGUGUUAGAUGAGGUUUCGGAGUUAAGAUGGGGACACUAGAACUCUAGCUGGGAAAUCAGGUGCAGGGAUGCUGCAUAAUCCCCUGAGGUGAUGCGUGCAGCGAGGCAACAGCAGUCAGGCUCUACAGGGUAGAAUUUAUUCUCAGAAGAAGGUAUAGACCGCUGACAAAGGAGUUCACUCCUCUGUAAACUGUUAAGGAAUUGCAAAGAAAUUUUCCAUUUGUAAUCUGCUGACAUAUUUUAGAAAGGUAGCCUCCUUAAUCCACCCCUCUAAAGACCUGAUGGUGGUCCCUCACAGGUAUCCAAAGUAGCCUUAAAUCAGAGACUGGUCUAGUUGGAGGAUGUGACUUGGAAUCUAUGAACCCUGGAUGUACUUGAGGGCAACUCACUUGAAACUUUGGAAUUUCAUGUGGAUGCAUGUUUUCUGGAGAGAGGUCCUAGAGUCUUGACCAUAUUCUCAGACAUGCCCUUACUUGGAUUUAGGAUAAGAUGAUUUAGUACUUGGCUCAUUGGGUGGCUGGCUUUCUCUCUCCUCUCUUUUUUAAAAACCCAGAACAAAUUCCUAUUAGUGAAAAAGAAACAAUAGCUUGAAGAACAAAGAAGGCCCCAGACCAUAAGAUAGAAUGAUAGAAGAGCCCUAGAUUUUCCAACAGAUGACCCUCCCUUUAUUUUUGCUUGGGUGGGUGUGCCAUUAUUAAUAAUAAGCCAGGGGAAUAGGGGAUUGAGAAGCUCUUCGUAGAAUGUGUAAUGAAUUUUUCUGUUCCUUGUGGAGCAGUUUCAGUGGUUUCAGCUGAAGUACACAGAGAGGGCUAUGUUAACAGUAAGGAGGUGAAUUACUAGUUAUUGCUAUCAAGUUUGGAGCUGGGGAGAAAGCGGGUGUAUGAAACAGGACCAUGUGUGAAUGGAUUUCUCAAGUGUUUCAUUAAAGAUCCGUCAGAACGGUUAGCACUCUAACCAUGCUUCAGUCUCUGGCUUCUGAUUCCUUUGUGGAAUUAAAAAUGCUUUUGGGAAGAGGGGCUAAACAAGCCUUUUGUCUGAAUUUCCAUGUAUUGAUUAAUGGACCCAGCAGAGCAUCCUGCUGUGAAUUCUGUCUGCUGAUGGUAACUCUUACAAUGAGCAAAGCUUUUCUGAACUGGCAUUUUCCACUCAGCCUGUAGGCUGCUGUAUUGGGUGUGACAAUUUUUUAAAAGCCAUCAUGCUAGAAUGAAAAUGAGCCAUUUCUAAAUGGCCUAUUGAUUUGCAAAACCUUUUUGUGUUGGAUUGAAUGGUUUCAUAUCUCAGCUGAGGGAAAAAGAUGCAGGCUAUUUUUAAUUUAUUGUUAUUUUAUCUUAAAGAUUUGAGUUGACAACGUUUUGGUCAUGAUGUUUACCUACUGUUGAAAGGUCUACUUGCAUGUCAUGACUUGAUAAUAAAUGUAAAACUCUGGUUCAUUAGCUUACACUAUAAAAGAGUUCUACAGCUCCACUUACAGUGUGAGCCACAGUCAGUAAAUAUGGAUCCAGAAGUCCUAAUUAUGACUCAAGCUCACCCAUAAACUUGGGGACCACCUUCGCACCAACGCUGUCCACUGGGCUAUUUAUGGAAGAAGCCACUAGGAACUGUUAGGCGGCUCCAUGUGUCUGGCUAACAGGGUCUUUAUUCAUUCACCUCAUCACGGUAUUCAGUCUUGAUGCUAGUGUGCACGCUUCCUAAGAAUUACAGAUGGGAAUAAAAGGUGUCUGGGUAUACCUGGGGAGUAUAUGUUUUUGCCUGCUGAUAUAGGAUACUAGGGUAGCUUGUAUGCAAAAGCAUGAGCGUCUAGGUUUAAAGGAUUCUUUUUGUUAAUAUCUGAGUUGACUUGGUAUGGAUCCUUGUUUGAUUUUUUUUUUUUUAAAUUUUUAUGUAUGUAUGUAUUUGCUUUUGAGACAGGGUCUUGCUCUGUUGCCCAGGCUGGCAUGCAGUGGCAUGAUCACAGUUCACUGCAGCCUCGACCUCCUGCUGCUCAAGUGAUCCUCCCACCUGAGCCUCCCAAGUAGCUGGAACUACAGGCGCACACCACCACACCUGGCUAAUUUUGUUUAAUUUUUUGUAGAGAUGGUUUUGCUAUGUUGCCCAGGCUGGUCUCAAACUCCUGGGCUCAGGCCAUCCUGCCUGCCUCAGCUUUCCAAAGUGCUGGGAUUACAGGCGUGAGCCACCACGCCAAGUCCUUGAUUGAUUUUCUUAACCCCUUGAUGGCAGCUUUUGUAGAUGUUUCUUACUUCCAACAAUAAUAAUAAUGAUAAAUAAUAAACAUAGUUGAAAUAUCUACUAUUUGCUAGGUGGAGCAAUUUCAGUGGUCUCAACUGAAGUAGCUGAUUUUUGUAAAAUGCAGAAAUUAAAAUCAAAAUGAAAAACAGGAUGGUUUUCCCAGCCUCUCUGUACAAUUUUGAUUAGGGUACAGUUACAGGUUGGGCAUCCCAAACCCAAAAAUCUGAAAUGCUCCAAAAUUCAAAACUUCUUGAGCACUGACAUAAUGCACAAAGGAAAUGCUCACGGGAGCAUUUUGGAUCUCAGAUUUUCAGAUUUGGGAUUCUCAACUGGUAAGAAUAAUGCAUACAUUUCAAAAUGUUUCCCCAGACAUGAAGGGUCAAAGAGAAAGUUCAUUCUAAGAGUCACAGAUGCUUUUUGCUGCAGAUAGAUGAUAUGAUUCAUCUUGACAGAGGGAUUCUUCUCUAAUCUGCAGACAGGAGUGAGCAAAGUGCCACCUUUUCACUUGUUUUAAACCUGUACUUUACUCCAACACUUCAGUAUCUCCUUUUUCUCUUCUUGAAGUGGCAUGAAUCUUAGGGAAAGGUGAGGAGCUCCUAGAAGUAGCUGUCACCAGAAACGGGCCAAUGAACUUCCUGGUCCAAGUCUUCUGUUUAAACUCCCAGUUUUAACAUUGAGCGUCUGCUUUGCAAUGAACAUGAAACAAGGAAUUUGCAGCAUUGAGGGUCGUACGCUUCACUGACUUGAGGUCAGUGUUGCUGGUAAGUAGGCCUAUGGCAGUGAAAAAGCUUUGACCCCAAUUCCGUGGGGGACAGAACUUCCUAGAGCAUUCUAGAAAACAGGGUACACGUGGAGUAGAUGCCAUAUUCAGUGCGAUUUUGCAGCAUAAUGUUGUGUUGUGGAAACUUCCCUCUUACCACUGUGCCCCAGUAAAUUGAACUCGAAGGUGCCUCUGUACCUUUUGUCUCUUGUAUAGGAAAUUAUAUCUGUCAGAAACAUUUCUUAGGUAAUCUGAGUAUAGGAAUCUAAAAACUGAGUACUCUUGUACUAAAAUGAGACACCAGUUUCUCAGGAAAACUUAAGGAAAGCAUGUUAUUUAAAAACAAUUUUGAAUAUUUCUAAACUUUCUCCUUUGCAUUUUUUUCUCCAACCAGAGGCCUUGGCUUAGAUAAAAUAAACUAAUAAAAUCUUUUUUUCUUUUCUUGUUUCCUGUUGUUGAAUGACAACCUCCCUGAGCAGCCUGGUGGCUUGGAGGCUCUGAUGUGAAGUAUAGAAUAGGUGGAGGGCGAAUAACAAAAGCCUUAUCAUGUAGAUAGCCCUGAAAUGGGACCACAGUCUUUAUCUUUGAGAACUGUCCAGUGACUGCUGCAAACUGGGCAGCUCUUUUGGAAAUGAGCAGUCUCUGAUACAGCUGGUAGGUAGAACCAAUUUGGCCCCUAAUAGGCUAACUGGAGCCAGUAGUUUAAGGGGGUGAUUAUUAAUUUGCCUUGUGUUUGUCUUCAUUUAGAGUAAGUUCAUCAGGCUAUGUUUUCAUGGUACCUUGCAUCAAGGAAAAUGUGGUUCUGUAAGUCUUCAUAUCAGUUUCUCUUCGAGAGUAGGAGUAAUAAUGCAUAUAUGUUUGCAUAUUUCCAAAUGCCUUUGUUUAGGGACUCAAUAAGUAUUUACUAUUAAAUUUGAUUUUUUAGUUGAAUAAACAUGUUUUAAACAAAAAUUAUUUCCUAAUUUUGACUCAGAGCCUAGAAACUGUUAUAAUGUGUGGCAUAUACACUUCUUUUUUGGCUAAGAGUAGAGUUAGAAUCUACUUUCUAAUUCAUCCAUUUUGAACGUUGAACCUGAAAUCCAGCUCAUCUUUAAGAUUGUUGUAUCUGCUAGGUUUGGAAUUUUAAACUUGGAAUUUUGGGGUCUCCUUGGUGGUGUAUAGUACUUCCAGAUAUAGACAGCAUAGAUGGGUCUCUUAGCUCAUCUGAAAAUGGGAGCUCAAAAUUUUUUCAAAGAUCUCAUAUUUACAAAUGAAUAAGUAUAAUGUAAAAUGCAAAAAUGAAAAUCAAAAUGAAAACAGGGUGGUUUUCCUAGCCUCUCACUAGGAUUUUGAUUAAAAUACAGUUACAGGUUGGGGUUCCAAAAAUCCAAAAAUCUGAAAUGCUCCAGAAUUCAAAACUUUUUGAGCACUGACGUGACACACAAAGAAAUGCUCACGGGAGCAUUUUGGGUCUUGGAUUUUCAGAUUUGAGAUUCUCAGCUGGUGAGGAUAAUGCAAAUAUUGGAAAAUGUGAAAAAAUAUGAAAUCCAACACACUUCUUGUCCAAAGCAUUUUGGAUAAGGGACACUCAACCCGUUUAAUCCAAGCACUUGGUGGAGAAUGUUGACAGUCACUUUCAGAGGUAGACAAAUUCCACUGGCAAGUUUAAUGACUGAUGGUAUUAUUAUUGUUAACUCACACUUGUGUCAAAGGUGCUUGUGACAUAGGGAGUUUUGCUCUCUCCAGCAUGUCCAUUGACUUGAGCUGGUUCCCGCUCAACACACAGACCUCAGGGCCCUGGGGAAAUAACUUAGGCAGCCCAAACAAGACCCCUGACCUCUGCUGUAUAGGCAGAUUUCAUUAGCAAAUCAGAAAUGUUCUAUUUAAAGUAUAUUACAGUGAUUCAUUGUAGAUUAACUCACAAAUCAAGACAGACCAGUGCCCUUUUGUGAUUAUUUUUCAUCAGCCUCAGGAGCCUCUAGAAGCCUCCUGUGGAGGUCUCACGCAUGGGGUGACAGGAGUCAAAGUGCUUCCUGCUGAUGGGUGUCCUGAUUUUUUUCUAGGUCUAAUAGUAUCAGCUGUGGGUUCCUUCCUGUAGUCUUUGUGAUCAUCUGACUGGCAAGGUCUCCAGGUAUCCACAGCUCACAAGUUACUAUUGGCGAGGGCUUGGAACUUGCCUCCUGCCCAGCCAGUGAUAGCAUGUUCAUGCAAGUCCCCACUGGCCAGCAGGGCUGCUGGAAUAGUAGAUGGCUCUCCCUGGGGAGUUCUGCCUGGUUCAAGCAUCAUUACCGUGGGGAGGAUUUCUUUGACCCACACCUAGUCUAGGCAGGUGGUGCAAGUGCAGAGACACCUGUCACAGCCUUGCUGUGGGUUGCAUCACAUUCCUCCUAAAAGCUCCAAGAAGUUCACUUCUCACUCACUAAGUGGGAUUGAGAGAAAACCUGCCUGUAGUUACAAUUUUCCUAAUCGAAACUCACCUCUUUUCAGUAGGACAGUACAAAACAGGCUACUUUCUCAGUAAAUAAUUACUAAUAACUAACACUGAUAUACUGCCUGUUUACUAUGUGCCAAGUACCUAUUCCAAGCAUUCUGUGUAUUUUAAGUCAUUGAAUCCUCCCAGCAAUCUCAUGAGACAGGUAUACUAUUAUUAGCCCUAGUUUACAGGCGAAGAAACCGGAGACAGAGCAGUUCAGUAACUUGUCCAAGGUCUCCAGUCCAGUGGAACCUGGAAUAACUCAUCCAGCUCCAAGGCCCACCUCCUCACCUGUCAUGCCUCUCAUCACCAAAUGCAAGCUAGUUUCAGGGUGGUUAAUUUUGGAGCUGAUGAGCUUUACAGGUGAUUGAAUUUAAUCAUUUAUGAGAGUAGGCAGGUAGGAUAUGCCAAGAAAGAGAUCUUACUCAGUAAGUUUGGCAGGCCUCCAUAUUUUGGGCCUUUCUUUGCUUCCCCCUGUGAUCCCAAUGAACUUGGGUACCAAGUCUUCUUGUUCCCAUUACCCUUUUCUUGGAAUAGAUUUUCUCAGAUAAUCUCCAUCUUUCUCCCAAUCUCCUCUUCCUUCUUCCUUUUUCUUAAACAGGAUGAGCCUGUUUACUGCUGGGGGCAGGGUAUGUAUCCCCAUGAGUCAGGGGCUUGAUUGGUAGGGGAGGUGAGUGUUCAUGCUGCGUCCCUAGACAUCUUGAAUGUCCCCCAAUUUGAGCAAGUAACACAUCACUUAGUUCUGCAACAGAACCAGCCACACAUUGGUGUGUGUUUGGCUUGCCUCUGAUUUGAUGUUGCUCUUUUCUCACGAGGCUUGGACAAAACUCCUGCUUUACUCAAAUCUUGUUUGAGUUAAUAUCUCAGCCUCCAGGUGAAAUGAGGAAUGAAAUACAGAUUUUAGUAUCUAAUAUAAAACCAUAACUUGUUUUUACUCUGAGCUCCAUCUUGGGACUAUAUUCUAUCCAGAGGCCCUGAGGAACUUCUCUCCCUCCUUUGUUUUGAUUUAUUAAAGUUCUUGAAUUAUAUCCCAUGUUAUUGAUCUCAGCAAAUGUGGGUUUCAAAAUUGAGAGAGAAGUAAAUCGUGCUGUGUUGUUACUGUGCGUUUGGCUGAAUUCUGUUCAACCUCUAAAGGAAAGGAAAUAUAUCAUGCUGCAGUCUUUUAACAUAAAAUCAGUUUACACUUUGCCAUUCUAAAAAAUUGAUCAGUUCAAUACAUUUGAUAAGUGCCGCAAGUAAGGAUUUACUCUGAUUCAGUAUCAUUGUCAAGUCCUAAAUUUUACUUAAAUUUUUUUAACUUACAAGCUGUCUUCCUCUAAAUUUAGGAUGGAAGGGGACAAAGAAGUUUUUAGAUUUUUGUCACUGAUUUAUAGCAUGUAAUUAAGGUCAUUUUGUACUAUUUUGAAGCUCCAUUUUGUUUCUUGGUUAUGUUGUUCUUAGAAGGAAUACUUUAAAAUUGUUGAGUGUAUUUAGUUAAUGUUUCAUAUAAAAUGGUAUCUACUUCCCCUCCCCCAGGUUAGGAGACUCUGAAUGAUGAAAUUCCUCUGAAUUAUCUUGAAGUAUCUUCUUAGAAAGUAAUGUUUCUCCAAUUCAUUAAGCUACUAAGAGUUUUCUGGUAUUGAAUGAAAAAGAAUUGUAGGUAUUUCAGGAAUUCCUGAAUAGCUGUUUUAUAACCAGACUGAUGAAAAGAAAGCCAUUUUAGAUGUGGGGUUGUAUGUAAUAAAAGUUUCAAAUUUUAAAAAUAACACAGAAAUCUGACAUUUAUUUUAGAAAGUGCCUUUUUUACAUUGAGGGAGAAAUUACCGAAAGGCAUAAAAUAAGUUUUAUCUGAUAAAUAUUUAAAAUAGAAAUGUGUCUGUGAGGUAUAACUUUUUAAAAGACUCAACCCCCACAAACCAGUAUUUCUGUUGAUAUUAAUUUUAGAAAAGAUUAAUUACAAGUAUUCAAUUUUGAUGCUGAUCUAUAAAAUAUAUAUUCUAAUUAUGCAGGCUCUAUGUGAAAAUGCAUUCUUAUUGGAUUUUAAUAUUGUUUUAUUUUGAUUUUAAAAAUAAUUUUGAAGAUACCUACAGCAUAUUGUAAGUAUAAAUGGCUCAGAAGUUAAUACAUUUUAAGAUACAUUUUCAGAAAAUUACAGGUUUUUUUUUUUUUUCUUUUAAGUCCACAACUAAGUUUGAUUGCUUUAAUAUCUUCCUCUUAGGAAGAGAUAAGGGUAAUGGGAAGUUGUAGAGAUAAGCUAAACUUAUACCAACACUAGUUUGAGAGCCAUUCGAUUUUUUUUUUCUUGCUAUUUUUUGGCAACAAGAACCGCACACACCAGUAGCAGAGUAGAUAAUACAACCAUUUAUCAACCUUAAAGAACCACAAGUGUUAUUCUUUAUGCUUUAUUACUUUGCUUCAGAAUAUUGCCUUUAGACUGUGAAAUUGUACCCCUGUUUAUUUACGAUUUUUAUUUAAAGAUUUUUUUUUUUGUUUUGGAGACAGGAUCUCACUCCAGUUGCCCAGGCUGGAGUACACUGGCACAAUCUCGGCUCACUGCAGCCUUUACCUCCUGGGCUCAGGUGAUUCUCCCACCUCAGCCUCCCAAGUAACUGGGACUUUAGGCAUGCCAUGCCCAACCAGUUUUUUUGUUGUUUGCUUUUUGUUUUGGUAUUUUUAGUAGAGACGGGGUUUCACCAUGUUGCCCAGGCUAGUCUUGAACUCCUGGAAUCAAACAAUCUGCCUUGCUUCAGCCUCCCAAAGUGUUGGGGUUACAGGUGUGAGCUACUGUACCCGGCCUAAUUUUAUAUAAAGAUUCUUAAUCUGUCUGUCUGGUUUGGACUUAAGCUCUCUGUAUAAUAAAGUAAUUGAUAAGAUGAUAUGCAGUUCUGGAUUUAUGCCAGAUACAUGUUUUAUAAGAAAUUUUACAUGGUAAUUACUUAAAAUAUAAGAUUCUGGUGUAUUGAAAUACGUAUUUGAGUAGCCUGCCAUUUUAAAGUUAUAAUGCAAGUUAACUUCUAAAUUUUAAUAAAAUUUUGAGUUUUGUGAAUACCGUUUUCUUCAGCAAAGCUCAAGUAUUAGGCUAUUCGUGUAAAACUAUUAUAUCUUUGGGCACAUGUUUCUUAAUAUGAUUUUAAAAGGAAAAAAAGUAGGUUUUAAGCAGGUCAUGGUUUAUGUUCCAGCAUUUAGUUAAAAAAAAAAGACCUCUAAUCUUAUAAUGCUGUUAAUUUGCUGAACACUUUAUCUUUGCAGAUCAAUUUCACAUACUUUUAUCUGGUUCAUUUUUCACAGCCUUGCUCCGAGUGAGGUGUUCUUAUCAUCAGUUGACAAUGAUGGGACAGAGAUGGCUCAAGGAUGUUGGGCACCCAGGGGUGGUUGAACUGGCAGUUACGACUUGAUCCAGGUUAUCUGAUUUGGGAUCCAGUCUGCUUUCUCCUAGGUCACAGAAGCCUUUUGAUUUUGUUUUUCUUCUUUUUUAAUGUUAAGACAGGUAACUGACUAGGGCUGCAGGUCUGGCGGCUGCUUGUUUUGGGUUGGUCUUCAAACCCUGUUGUUCCCUGACAUCCUGCCUUCAGCACAGGUUGCUGUACAGCUUUUCCUGUGGGCCCAGCUCCUCCCUCCAGGGGCCUUUCUUUGCAGAAGCUGCUCUUUCUGCCUGGAACUCUGUUCCCUUUCCUUGUUUCUCUUCCUUUCCUUCUUCGAAUUUAAGCCUAAUUACCCUCCACGUCAGCGCUUCCUCCCACCUUCCCCACUGUAUACUCUCCAAACUCCAUCCACUUCCCUCUGCUUGGAACUCUUUUUCUGCAGUGUAUUUUUGUGGCACUUGAGUGGCUUUGUCCUUAGACUAAGUUCUGGGAGGAUGGGAUCUUUUGCCAGUUUUUUACCCAUUGUAUUCUCAGCCUUAGCAGGAUGCCUCAUACUUAAGAGGUACCCACAUAUUUAGGUGGAUGGAUGGAUGGAUGAAAGAAUGAAUAAUGCCGAUUCUUUCAUUAUAUGGACUUUGUUUCCUUUCUUAGACCAUUGGAAUCAGCUGAUCGUCUAGCACUUGGCUAGAUUUGAACAAAUUAGGAAUCCUAUGUUCUGUUUAGUUCCAACUCCAAUCAAUUAACCAAUAUUUAUUGAGUGAGAGGCAGAAUGUGAAGCGCUGUAUCUCUGUUGUCUUCUCUGUUUCUCUCUCUUAGCAUUUUUUCAUGUUUACAGAG